AUAUUAAUUCUUUUUAUAAAUGAUUUAUAAAAUAUAACUUUAUUUUAGUUUUGAUUAUAUUUAAAUUUAUAAUGAAGAAAGAAAGAAAUUUAUUGAAAAUAUUUUACAUUCCCUUAAAAAUAAAAUUAACACCUUAUAACUUCAGUGUUUAGUCUUAACAAACAUGCAAAGCAUAUGACUUUCCAGAAUCACAUUUUAAACUAUUUUAUGUGUUUUAUGUGUUAUUAAAGGUCACAUGUAUAAUUUAGCCAAAGGUGGCAAAAUACUUUAAGCUAGUUCUGAUAGGCACUUUAACCAUAGGAUAUAUCUAAAAUAACUUUCUUGGAGAAGUGAUAUAACAAUAGGAGCUCUAAGGAGGUGCUUUGAAUACUUUGCACUCACAGUAAUUUUAGAAAAUUAUAUUUAAAAAAGAGUAAUUAUGUUUAAGACCCUAUUAUAUUGUAGCGACCAAAACAUACGCAACGAAUAUUCUCGAAUGUUCUCGUUAUCAAAAACCUUCGAGAAACUUCGAUAACGCCAUAAGAUAACCUACGCGGGUAUAGAAUAUUCUAGAAUUAGCGAGAGCCUUAUCGGAGCUAUAUAUAUAUCGGAAGAAUCAGUCAGUUCAGUUAGUUCAGUUCAGACUGUCUAGUCCGCGAUACGCUACACGACCGCUACACCCCGCCGCUGUUGUCAUCGUGUAUUAUGUUUACUUCGAUUAUUUUAUUUUUCCUUACUGUAUAUACAUAUAUUUUCUUUUAGUUGUUUAUACGUCUAUUUUCGUGUUAUAAUUUUGUUUAAUAAAAGUCUACCGCCAUUUAAAUAA